rnacentral:piRNA from 1 species
UGGUACCAGAGAGAUUGAAAAUGCCUUUUUU